rnacentral:sRNA from 1 species
AGUCAUUAUUUAGCAAUGUUGUUACCAAGAAUAAAGAUUUGCCAGAGUCUGCCCUCCGAGACCUCAUUGUAGCCACCAUUGCUGUCAAGUACACUCAGUCUAACUCUGUGUGCUACGCCAAGAACGGGCAGGUAAGUGGGCUGUUGGACUCACCUUCGGGGGAUUGUUGUUUUACGAAAUGAUAUGUAAACAUCGUCUGCCUUAGAUAUUGGACAGCUUGAAAGGGAAUAUUUGGCAAGUGUUUCUCUUUUGUGUUUGUCAGUGUUUCCUCAGUACCCUGGUGGGCUGUUAAAACUAAUGAUGAUCAGAAAAUAUCUUUGGAACCAGGUACUCAAAUUAGUUGUGCCGCUUCUUGCCUUGAAUAGGUUGGCACAUUUUGGAUUAGUGAGACUCUAAUAGCUGUUACAAAACUGGAUUAUUUACUCUCCUUUUCCCCCAUGGUAUUAUUUCCAGGGAAGAGGAGGUAAGUUACGGUGCUGCCACCCGCCAGCCUAUAUUUUUGCAGCCUGCAGGGUAUUUUCACAUUAUUUCUUACAUUGUCUUAUCAAGAAUCUGCUGAGUAGAAAAACUGCUAGACAGGAGUUAACCUCAUCUUUAAAAAAUCAGGUUUAUUGAGGCAUAAUUUGUAUACAGUAGAAUUCACCUUUUUAAAUGUACAGUUUGGCCAGUUUUCACAAAUUUCACGGUAUGUGACCGCUGCCACAAUUAAAUAUCGAACAUUUCUCACUGUGUGAUGUCAAGCAAGAUAUUGCACUUCUUUCCUAGUGUCCCAAACCUCAAAAUACAAGAUUGAGCUGGUUCAUCUCUGAGGUCUCUGCUAGCCUUUUCUUCACACGGUGUCCUGAUGA